GUUAAGCGACUAAGCGUACACGGUGGAUGCCCUGGCAGUCAGAGGCGAUGAAGGACGUGCUAAUCUGCGAUAAGCGUCGGUAAGGUGAUAUGAACCGUUAUAACCGGCGAUUUCCGAAUGGGGAAACCCAGUGUGAUUUGUCACACUAUCAUUAACUGAAUCCAUAGGUUAAUGAGGCGAACCGGGGGAACUGAAACAUCUAAGUACCCCGAGGAAAAGAAAUCAACCGAGAUUCCCCCAGUAGCGGCGAGCGAACGGGGAGCAGCCCAGAGCCUGAAUCAGUGUGUGUGUUAGUGGAAGCGUCUGGAAAGGCGCGCGAUACAGGGUGACAGCCCCGUACACAAAAAUGCACAUACUGUGAGCUCGAUGAGUAGGGCGGGACACGUGGUAUCCUGUCUGAAUAUGGGGGGACCAUCCUCCAAGGCUAAAUACUCCUGACUGACCGAUAGUGAACCAGUACCGUGAGGGAAAGGCGAAAAGAACCCCGGCGAGGGGAGUGAAAAAGAACCUGAAACCGUGUACGUACAAGCAGUGGGAGCCUCUUUAUGGGGUGACUGCGUACCUUUUGUAUAAUGGGUCAGCGACUUAUAUUCUGUAGCAAGGUUAACCGAAUAGGGGAGCCGAAGGGAAACCGAGUCUUAACUGGGCGUUAAGUUGCAGGGUAUAGACCCGAAACCCGGUGAUCUAGCCAUGGGCAGGUUGAAGGUUGGGUAACACUAACUGGAGGACCGAACCGACUAAUGUUGAAAAAUUAGCGGAUGACUUGUGGCUGGGGGUGAAAGGCCAAUCAAACCGGGAGAUAGCUGGUUCUCCCCGAAAGCUAUUUAGGUAGCGCCUCGUGAACUCAUCUCCGGGGGUAGAGCACUGUUUCGGCAAGGGGGUCAUCCCGACUUACCAACCCGAUGCAAACUGCGAAUACCGGAGAAUGUUAUCACGGGAGACACACGGCGGGUGCUAACGUCCGUCGUGAAGAGGGAAACAACCCAGACCGCCAGCUAAGGUCCCAAAGUCAUGGUUAAGUGGGAAACGAUGUGGGAAGGCCCAGACAGCCAGGAUGUUGGCUUAGAAGCAGCCAUCAUUUAAAGAAAGCGUAAUAGCUCACUGGUCGAGUCGGCCUGCGCGGAAGAUGUAACGGGGCUAAACCAUGCACCGAAGCUGCGGCAGCGACACUAUGUGUUGUUGGGUAGGGGAGCGUUCUGUAAGCCUGCGAAGGUGUGCUGUGAGGCAUGCUGGAGGUAUCAGAAGUGCGAAUGCUGACAUAAGUAACGAUAAAGCGGGUGAAAAGCCCGCUCGCCGGAAGACCAAGGGUUCCUGUCCAACGUUAAUCGGGGCAGGGUGAGUCGACCCCUAAGGCGAGGCCGAAAGGCGUAGUCGAUGGGAAACAGGUUAAUAUUCCUGUACUUGGUGUUACUGCGAAGGGGGGACGGAGAAGGCUAUGUUGGCCGGGCGACGGUUGUCCCGGUUUAAGCGUGUAGGCUGGUUUUCCAGGCAAAUCCGGAAAAUCAAGGCUGAGGCGUGAUGACGAGGCACUACGGUGCUGAAGCAACAAAUGCCCUGCUUCCAGGAAAAGCCUCUAAGCAUCAGGUAACAUCAAAUCGUACCCCAAACCGACACAGGUGGUCAGGUAGAGAAUACCAAGGCGCUUGAGAGAACUCGGGUGAAGGAACUAGGCAAAAUGGUGCCGUAACUUCGGGAGAAGGCACGCUGAUAUGUAGGUGAAGUCCCUCGCGGAUGGAGCUGAAAUCAGUCGAAGAUACCAGCUGGCUGCAACUGUUUAUUAAAAACACAGCACUGUGCAAACACGAAAGUGGACGUAUACGGUGUGACGCCUGCCCGGUGCCGGAAGGUUAAUUGAUGGGGUCAGCGCAAGCGAAGCUCUUGAUCGAAGCCCCGGUAAACGGCGGCCGUAACUAUAACGGUCCUAAGGUAGCGAAAUUCCUUGUCGGGUAAGUUCCGACCUGCACGAAUGGCGUAAUGAUGGCCAGGCUGUCUCCACCCGAGACUCAGUGAAAUUGAACUCGCUGUGAAGAUGCAGUGUACCCGCGGCAAGACGGAAAGACCCCGUGAACCUUUACUAUAGCUUGACACUGAACAUUGAGCCUUGAUGUGUAGGAUAGGUGGGAGGCUUAGAAGUGUGGACGCCAGUCUGCAUGGAGCCGACCUUGAAAUACCACCCUUUAAUGUUUGAUGUUCUAACGUUGACCCGUGAUCCGGGUUGCGGACAGUGUCUGGUGGGUAGUUUGACUGGGGCGGUCUCCUCCUAAAGAGUAACGGAGGAGCACGAAGGUUGGCUAAUCCUGGUCGGACAUCAGGAGGUUAGUGCAAUGGCAUAAGCCAGCUUGACUGCGAGCGUGACGGCGCGAGCAGGUGCGAAAGCAGGUCAUAGUGAUCCGGUGGUUCUGAAUGGAAGGGCCAUCGCUCAACGGAUAAAAGGUACUCCGGGGAUAACAGGCUGAUACCGCCCAAGAGUUCAUAUCGACGGCGGUGUUUGGCACCUCGAUGUCGGCUCAUCACAUCCUGGGGCUGAAGUAGGUCCCAAGGGUAUGGCUGUUCGCCAUUUAAAGUGGUACGCGAGCUGGGUUUAGAACGUCGUGAGACAGUUCGGUCCCUAUCUGCCGUGGGCGCUGGAGAACUGAGGGGGGCUGCUCCUAGUACGAGAGGACCGGAGUGGACGCAUCACUGGUGUUCGGGUUGUCAUGCCAAUGGCACUGCCCGGUAGCUAAAUGCGGAAGAGAUAAGUGCUGAAAGCAUCUAAGCACGAAACUUGCCCCGAGAUGAGUUCUCCCUGACCCUUUAAGGGUCCUGAAGGAACGUUGAAGACGACGACGUUGAUAGGCCGGGUGUGUAAGCGCAGCGAUGCGUUGAGCUAACCGGUACUAAUGAACCGUGAGGCUUAACCUU
rnacentral:rRNA from 1 species